rnacentral:lncRNA from 1 species
CUGGAAUUCCUCAAGAGGACCAGCAAAGCCUGACAAUAGUAGGAAAUACCCCAGCUGGAGAUUCCCCUGUGGUGUUCUAAUUUCUACAGCGUUUCCUCUUUGAUAUAAUUUGUUUGAAAUAGUUUAAGAGCAUUCUUUGCACCGUUCUUUGCAUUUUACGCAACUAACAGAAUUCCCCUUUUUCUUUUCCAAGUUUUCAGGAGACAAAAGAAAAAUUAUUACUAAUGCGCUUCAGCUGUAUGACAAAUGCUGCUUUGGGGAAGCAGAAGGCAGGCUCCACGCAGAAGCCUUCAGUUGUUGUGUCUUUCAAUUCUAAACCUUCGUCAUAAGUCUGAAGCUUGUGAGUCAGAAGGAUUUGAAACACUGUUGACGAUAUAAAAGAGGAAAUGAAGUCAUCACAUACGAGCAACUUAACUCUUCCAAAGGAGGAAAUGUGGAUAUCACUCUUUUUACCGGUAGUGAAGAACGAAACCUCUGGCCGAAAUAACCAUUAUAACCAGGGCUAUCUGGC